rnacentral:rRNA from 1 species
UACGAAGGGGGCUAGCGUUGUUCGGAAUUACUGGGCGUAAAGCGCACGUAGGCGGAUAUUUAAGUCAGGGGUGAAAUCCCAGAGCUCAACUCUGGAACUGCCUUUGAUACUGGGUAUCUCGAGUAUGGAAGAGGUGAGUGGAAUUCCGAGUGUAGAGGUGAAAUUCGUAGAUAUUCGGAGGAACACCAGUGGCGAAGGCGGCUCACUGGCCCGGUACUGACGCUGAGGUGCGAAAGCGUGGGGAGCAAACAGG